rnacentral:rRNA from 1 species
UACGUAGGGUCCGAGCGUUGUCCGGAAUUACUGGGCGUAAAGAGCUCGUAGGUGGUUUGUCGCGUUGUUCGUGAAAACUCACAACUCAAUUGUGGGCGUGCGGGCGAUACGGGCAGACUGGAGUACUGCAGGGGAGACUGGAAUUCCUGGUGUAGCGGUGGAAUGCGCAGAUAUCAGGAGGAACACCGAUGGCGAAGGCAGAUCACUGGCCCGAUACUGACGCUGAGGUGCGAAAGCGUGGGGAGCAAACAGG